CACGUAGGCGGCUCGCUAAGUCGGAUGUGAAAGCCCCCGGCCCAACCGGGGAACUGCAUUCGAUACUGGCGGGCUCGAGGACGGUAGGGGUAAGUGGAACUCCAGGUGGAACGGUGAAAUGUGUAGAUAUCUGGAGGAACACCGGUGGCGAAAGCGGCUUACUGGACCGUAUCUGACGCUGAGGUGCGAAAGCUAGGGUAGCGAACG
rnacentral:rRNA from 1 species